UCCUCGGUCCUCGAUGCGAGCGGAUUGUCACAUGCUCCUGCUUGCACGGCAGAGCGCGUUUCCUCUUCUUCAUUCGAGUUCGAUUUUGCGGUGGAGAACUUUCUUCGUGGUGUGAGUGACCGAGACAUGGCGGUCAGUCAGUCGGGGCGAACACAAAAAAAAGUAGCGGUCGGAAGAAAGUUACCGAAGCCAUAUAUUGAGGCCAUACUACCGGAAUAUCCGCAUCACGUUAUCGCGAUACUUCUUUUUUUUCACAAAGUGAACCGCGACAUUCUCUCUCUCUCUCUCUCUCAUCUUUCUUUUUUAUUCUUCAACUUAUUCGUCGCGGUACAAUUUAUUCGAGUGUAUUGUGCGAUGGAACAUGGCGACCGCUCACGUGUGUUAUUCGAGACAGGUGUAACGUAUAGUGAAGCUAGUCUCUGGAGGCUUUGUGAUUCUGAAUUAAUAAUCGAAUUUAAAAUUAAAAAUUUAAUUUUCUGCCAAAGUUCUGCCGAUUGAAAAGAGAAGAUCGAACAAUGACCGGCUCGCGUACUCCUCAAAUAACAUCGAAUGUUUAUCAUACAAGAAAUAUAUCAGAUAGAGUUUACUAUGCAGUUGCGUCCUCGAUGACUUAUUUUGUGAAUCGAUUGCGAUCAUGUAUUGUCGACUGUAUAUACGUGCAACGUUACGUAGCAUUGCCGGCGGCUUUGUUUAGAGUGGCCCUCGACGAGUUCCAGUGAAAAGGUCUCCUCGUGCGUGUUGUACGCGACGUAGACGCCUGCACGGCGCACAUGUCGCUCUGGGUGUACAUACGCUCGGCAUUGUUGUUGCUGCGGAAUUGGCAAACCGCAAUUCGAUUGUUGACUGUACUCAGAUUUAAUUCGUCGAUCCCUGAAUUUACUUCGACUUCAUAUUUAUCGAUUUGUUGCAGUCACGUUUACAUGACAGACGUUAUCACGCGAGCAUAAAGUGCAGACGGCAAAUUUAUACGAUUUCUCUUCAGAUUAAGGAAACAAUAACAGGGAACCGAAAAAAAGAUUGAAUAACAUCAUAUCUUCCGACGUAGAGAACGUAUGCUGAUGAUUACGUAAACACGUCACGAUAGACGAACGUCCAUUCAUCAGUUCUCAUGCAGUAUUGAACGAAGAGGAGAAUUACCCAUUGGUUAUUCAGCUGUCGCAGACAUUGGCAUUGUGCCGAGCUUCACGAGAUUUGGAAACCCGGUCAGGCUGCAACGUUUACGAUUCGAGAGCCGGACAAUAAUUGUCGCUUUAAAAACCGAUUGUUUGAGGAUACCUGUGAGUUUAUGUUGUCUGCCUGACUGCGAAGGACAUCCUUGAAUUUUUCAGAAGCAACUCCGAGAAGCCAUUUCGCAAGGACCACACGGGAGAGAUUCGUCAGAGAAGGUGCAGCACGGGGACAGAAAAAAAGUAAAGAACGAGAACCUUGAACCAAUCGUAAAUGGCGCGGAGUGAAAGCGAUCGGUCACCACGUUUUUCCCAGAAGAGCGCGAGCCACGAAAUUAUCGGCUUGUAAAUCGAACCGAAGGAUCUCGUUCCUUUUGCGGCAAAUAAGCGGCCGCUUCGGUAAUCCAGUAGCGAAUUGAGCUCACGAAACGUCGAAAGUGAGGAACGCAAUCCUCAAUUAUCAAAACGACGUUCGGCUAGACAAGUACCUGCGCUAAACGCUAUUCAUCGUUUACGGUCAAAAUUGCAUUUUCAAGAUAACAUUUUGUCGACUUUGCACGUAUAUUAUACUACUCGGUGAAAAAUGUAAUUGUCAACUUAAUUUUUUCGAUCUGUAAGAAGUUGUUAAACUUUCUGCCAAUAAAUAAAUAUCACGUGUUGAAGUAUACGUGUAAGAUUUUCUGUAACAUUUUACGUAAAGAAAUCCUUCGAUUUUAUUGAAAAUCAUUUGGAUAAAGGUGGAGUGGACUUUGCAUUAAUUCACAUGCGGGAUACUUUGAAAAGAGAUUGUAGACGAUACGUCACACCUCCAUUCGAGAGACGAGACGAGAUAGUAC